rnacentral:tRNA from 1 species
UAGGAAGUGGUGUAAUGGAAGCACGAAGAAUUUUGAAUUCUUAAAUAUGGGUUCAAGUCCCAUUUUCCUAA